UACGUAGGGGGCUAGCGUUGUCCGGAAUCAUUGGGCGUAAAGCGCGCGUAGGCGGCCAGAUAAGUCCGGUGUGAAAGUCACAGGCUCAACCUGUGAAUGCCGCUGGAAACUGUCUGGCUAGAGUCCGGGAGGGGCGAGUGGAAUUCCUGGUGUAGCGGUGAAAUGCGCAGAUAUCAGGAGGAACACCAAUGGCGAAGGCAGCUCGCUGGAACGGAACUGACGCUGAGGCGCGAAAGCGUGGGGAGCGAACAGG
rnacentral:rRNA from 1 species